AAUUUUUAGUUUAAAAAAAACAUUAAAUUGCAAAUUUAAAAUUAUUAUAAAAUAAAAUUUUA
rnacentral:tRNA from 1 species